CUGACCUUGGCUGCUGUGGCUGAACUUUGGGCAUGACAGACCUACACCCAAGACUGGAUUCAGGGGGACAUCUAUUGUUUUGUUCAUCAGCAGGCACAGGCACAAGAAUAGUUGGGUAGGAAGUAUCACAGUGGAUAAAGGUUUAAACCAGGACGUUGCCUGCCUUGCACAACGGGAACCAUGGCAUACAGCUCCAUACCUACCAGCCCCCACAGGCAGCUGGAACACAGAGGAAGGCAGCCUAGAGAGCGUCAGGAAGAUGGAGUAUGAAUGACAUAAGAUGCCUACCUUAUGUCUAGACCAGUGCUACU